UAUGCAUGUUGCGGCACGUGGACAAAAACCUAUUACCCUUGACUUUCACCAGUGUAUCUUCUCUGGCGGAACCAGAGGCGACUGCACUUGCCACUUGUCAUAGCAUGUGUGCACAUAUCUCCUGAAUCUGAUGCACCUGUAGAUCGGCCGUUUGUCGUUUCAUCAUUUCAUUUCAGUCGUUUGCGCGUAACGAAAGAUAAUUGCGAAACGGCGCGGCAAGCCGAUCUCAUCCGAGCUCGGUCGAAGGUUACCGAGCGUCGUGGCUACAUAAAUACAGCGAGUGACGCUUGGCGACCAUUCGAGGAGCGACCGAGGUUAAAGUAAUUUCAGUCCAGUGCAGCCGUUCAGCUAGUUUUCACUGUGAAACGUACAUUCGAAUUCUAAAAAGUGAUACGCAGCGCGUCAAUCACGCGACCGAGAAAACAUUUUCUUUUGGCAAAACCGAUUAAAGAAGAACGCGUAUCGGAAGAGAUUCGUUUCGUGUUUGAGAGUAAGCCCAAAGAGAAAUCAAACAUGUACACCAACCCGUUUAACCGCAAACACAGUACUAUACGACAGAUGUUGGACAAGAUACUCGAUCCGACGAAAAGAUCCAUCAGAAGAUCGGAAAGUGUGUCGAGUUCCGACAGUGGCAGUUCCAAGGGUAGCAAUAGUUCCCUGACCAGAUGCACGCAUAGCCACAGGGGGGUUUUACACUGGGGCAGGAAGUGAACUACCGAGGAAGAUAACCAGUGAAAUGCUGUGAUUCUCUUCUUUCUCUCCGUUUUUGCCUUUUUGUUUCAUCCUCUUUGCGUAUCCUCGCGAGAAAGCAAGCCGAUAAGAGAAGUCAUUAACAGUGCAAGAGAUUUUGAUCGAGUUUGCUGGCAGUAUCAGCAAAGUAUGCCGUGGAAAAUACUAUUGCACGGCAUAAAAGGCCGACUUGCUACGACCCCGUCGCCGCGGAGGAGACGCGUUUUGAAUCAACGCGGGAACUUGCGACGCGACUUGAUGAAAAUAAGAAGCCAUAUAUCCACCGGCGAGACCAGGUGUUAUUACACCGCGUUGCGCCGCGCCGCGCCGCGCCGUCGCGUCGUGAAGAUCGAUCGUGGCUAUUUGCUCGGAUCGAUGAUCAAAGGAUAUCGUACGAGUCACGGUUACUCGAAUGUACGGUAAAUAUCACAACUGCGAUAUAAACGUCAUUUUUGUUUAGAAGAAAUCUAAAUAAUAUUCACUACGAUCAAAAUAUAUGGAGUUGAUCACUGAAUAUUGUCAAAUCCAUUCAAAUACUACCGAAUAUCGUAUCGAAAUACAUAUAACAACCAUAUAUCGAACUGUAAAUUCAGCUUGGAUAUACAUAUUACGCACGCAUACAAGCGUUAUAUUUAUUGCAUAUUACAUUAUUUAUUUUGUAGACGAAAUUUAAUUAUACAUAUACACGUCUAUAGCAUUGUUAAGACCACCAUGUGCCAUAAUCGUUAAAAUUUGCAAACGCUUUUCAGUUGGCCAUUAGUUUUAUGUUACUAGUCAAAAGUCAGUAUUAGUCGCUGGAUCUGUACAUGAAAGAUACGUACAUGUUACAUGAAUCUGUAAAUCGACGAUAGUAUGUUACUUCUAAUUUAUUUGUUUCGCAUGAUAUUCGAACCAAAUAAAAGAUAUUUAUCGAAAAAUUAGUUGUUUCGUCCUUCCUCAACUCUUUUCUCAUUCUUUUGCAUAAGAUAACAUCCCUCUCAUUCUUCUACAUUUUAAUAUAAAUUUUUUUCACACGAUAUAUGUACUCAUACUACAGUCAAUAAUUGUAUGUUAAACAGUUAAAGAAACAUUUUCCAUCUAUAAAUGUAAUAUUUUACCCAUUACUAUAUUACAAGUUAAACUAUUUGAGAAAGCAUUUUCUCUUCUUCAAACUUUCGCAAAUUACAUACUAUUCGAAACGUAUGAAGACCAUAGGAAAAAUCGUGAUAACUACAUAUAUAUUUGUUAAUUUCUUGAUUGUAAUGUCACUUUGUAGCUAUACAAAGAAAUUAAAAAAAUAUAUUUUUUUUAAAUAAACGAUAUUUUAAUAUUUUCUUUUACGUAUUCUGGUAACAAAAUUACUUGACAACGUAUUGAAAUUUCAAAACUGCUACCCUAUAACAUAUAAAAGAUGGAAAAUGUACCUAUGUAUCAUCGUCCUCUAUUCCCAUAUACACUGGCGUUGAUAAGCUGAACGAUUUGAUUGACUUGCAGUAGCAGUAAGUAAAUUUUACCAAAUUUGGUAAGUAUACGAAUCAAAGAGGAAUUAAUAACAAAGAGUUACUAUCUUUUUAUGAAAUUACCAGACUAUAAUAUUGAUUUAUAUAUUAAAAAAUAUAUCAAUAUAUAUUUUACUAUUUACUAUAUAGGUAUUUAUAUAGAAAACUAUGGAUAAAUUAACUUUUAUAAGACAAUAUCCAAUAAUAAAAUUGGUAUGUAUGUAUCUAUGUAUUCAUCAAACUGUAAUCAUCAAACUUUAUAUCAUAGAACUACAUUCUGUUACUUAACAAACUCUUUAUUUUGAAAUCCUUUAAUUUUUGACACGGAAGACAGAUUAAAAGGGUCCCCCAUACUGUUUCUGUUUCCACUGUGAUGAGUGGAAAGACGUAAGGCAACAAUUUGGUACAUAUUCCUUUUCCUUGUCAUUCAUACGAUAAAUUUUGUACAAUAAAAGUUGAAAUAGCCACUACUAAACUAAUAGUUUCUUUUCUAUAAAAAAAAUCUCGCGCUGUAUCGAUUAAUGUAUUAAAAGAUACAUGAUUCCUAUUAAAAGAGCAAGGUUUAUCUUCACAUAACCAACGCCCACAUACAGAAUAACUAACAUCACAAUAUGCCUGCCUUCAAUUCAUUCAGCUUCUAUAUGAAACAUUUUUCGCUGCGGGUAAUAAUAGUAACGUAAACCAAUAUCUCAAUAUCAGGCGAGUCACUUGGUAUGUACGCGCGCGCGUGUGUCUACGUCAUAUUGUAUAUGUACAUAUAAAUUGCGUGAAUGUAAUAGUCAAAACUGUAAUAGUCAAAAGUAGUCUAAUAGUCACUUAUUAUUAAUAAAAAUCUUAUGGUCAGAUACAUCUUUUGAUCAUAUUGAAUUAUACCGUUGAUUGUAAAUUUCCAAGGAAAAUUCAGCUGAAUGUAACAAAUAUGCUCGGUUAAAUGAUUUUAUGUGAAGAGGCGUAUACGUUGAGUCAAUUAAACAGCUAUAGUUAUAAGCUAGUGCUCUGGAAACGUACGUAAUAAUAAUAAUUCAAUGCUGAAAUAUUUACAUAUUACGUUAUUGGCUUAAUUGGAAUUCAAACCGUUCCAGACGAUUGAGAGACGUUAGUGAGGUCAAUAAGAUUUAUUGUCAAUAGUUACCUACAAGUGUGCUUUUGCAAUAGCAAGCAAUUUUUAUUCGAAUGAUAAUUAGAUAAUUGUCAACUGCAGUGUUGUAAAUUCUCUUGUUGUUUUUAUCAUAGAUUAUCAUGGAUUACAGUUACUUACAUCAGUCUUACUACAUAAAAUAUUAUUUCGAAGUAAAAUAUUAUCUUUCUCGACUUUGUAAAUAUGCGUGUAUGGUAGAAUAAAUAUCACUGUGUUUCUCUUUAAUUUAAAUGUGAUAUGUGAAUGGGAUUUGAUAAUAUAACGAUGAAAAUGGCGAUUUUGUUAUGGUAUACAGGUAGCAAUUAUUUCUGCGGUCAUCUAUUAAUCAUCAAUACAUCUUUUAAUAAAUUUUAAUAAACAUUUCUCCUCCAGGCCUCCAAACUGACCUCCUUCCCUAUCGUUAAUCAUUUUGUCAACGAUGAUAAUACAAGAUAAUGAGAAAGGAAGAAUAAUUAUAAGUAGAUCGUGCAUAUUUAUGCAAUUACACAUUUUUAGAGGCUUAAUUAGAGAAAUGAAUUUUAAACAGAAAUUCACUGCUAAUCGUCUUGUUUAAGUUUUUGCAGAUAUCUCGGAAACUCAGACGGAUUGAAUGGCGGUAACAUGCAUAGGGAAAAGUUGUCCAGAAUGGACGACCUUCACAAUAUAUUUCAAGAUCAUCAACAAUCGGUGAGGUGCAGCUGAUUCCGAAUAAUUGACGAAUAAACUUACCAUGUAUUUAGUGAAAAGAAGUACGUUCAAUCGAAGGUUAGUGAUUUUUUAUUUUCAUGGGCUUUGUCUGAAGGCUAUGUAUUGGGAAUAACAGAUAAUAAUUUUAAAAACAAGAUUGAUGAUUCUUUUCCCAUACUGUUCAACAAUAUUUCAGAGAAUUACUUUUACUCAUAUAUAGUUUUAAAUUUACAUAUUAUAUCCUAUUAUAAGUAUUAUAGGAUAUUCGAAUUUUGAUUUGAAACUGAUAAAUUAUUAUUUUCGCAUGGGAAAGUAUCUUUCAUCACGAACUACUUUACAAACGUAGCUAAAAAUUAAAUAAUUGCACAAAAAAUAGAAAUCUGUUUCAGUUAUCUGUGCGAUUCUCUCUCUCUCUCUCUCUCUCUCUCUCUCUCAUCAAUAUGUUCACAGGUAACCCCUUUAUAACACAAAAAUUUAGUUGAAAAUAUCAUGUUGUAUCAAAGGAACGUUGUGCCCUUAGAAUACUGUUGUACGGGAAGAGAAGGUGAAGUUGUAGAAAAUCUACUUCCUCUCCGAUUUCGUUAGAUGUAUCAAUCAAUAUCAAUGUCCAGAAUGUAUGAAAAAUAAAUGUGACGAUUAUCACAGCGAGAUUGUACACUGUCUCUGGCUCGGUAGAGAUUUGUUCCAAAAAAUUGCAGCAAAUUAUGUAUUGGCAUGUUGGUCGGCUUUUGAGGUCAUCGUGGCCAAAAUCGACACACACCGCAUCGUUAUACUGUCACAUUUGUUUGGCACCGCCAAGCAAGAAUGGCAACCAAGGUGGUAUUGUCGCCUGGCAAAUGCCGACGCAAUGGCGACGCAGCUUAACGGAGAUGUCAACUCCGUACUAGUGUGUAUACGAUUAAUAUCGUGUAUGACGCACAAAAAUAUCUUAAUUUUGAGUAAUUAACGCAUAUCGCGCACAUACACUAAUAACAUACUAUAUAGUUACUAUGUAGUUAUAUGUACUCUACUAUGUAGUAACAUAUAGAAAACUUUUGUAUAUACUAUAUGCGUUGGAUACAAUAUCUUGAAAUGUUAUUUGUGCCACAAUGAGACACGGUUUGACAGAUUUAUAUUGGUAUUUAUGAACAAUAUUCAACAUCAAAAUGCAUAUAAAAGAUGCGUGAUAUUUACUGUAAACAUAUACAUGUAUUUAGUAGAGAAUUAAUAUACAGUAUGACUAGCCAUUUUUGAUUAUUUCUUUUAUUAUUUAAUAUAUAUUUUAAAUUACGUUUAACUUGCUUUGUAUUACUUAAAUAUAUAUUUCAAUAAACGAUACCAUUUAUUGCACAUAUUAAAAAGAAUUAUAGAAAUAUAGAAUACAAUUUCACAAAAGUAUACAAAAGUGGAAAUCGUAGAGAAGUUAGAUUUAACAUUAUACGUAUCAGUAUCUCGCAGAUCUACAAUCCUUUUCUGGCAUUAUAAAUAAAUUAGAAGAUUUUGUAAA